CAAAUUUCUUGGGUGUAGGGAGUUAGCUAGAGAUGCUGAAAAGGGUAUUCAAGUUGUGUUGUGAUGUCACAGACGACAAGAUGGCAGUAGCAUGGGGUGGAAAUGUAAACAAAACAGAGCAGGCAGAACAGGAGAAACAGAUGUGGUGUUUGGACUGGUAGGAGAGAACUCUGUCUUAUUGGAAUUUGUGGGUUGUAAGUCUGGUUGUGGUGUUGUUCAGUCUUAGUCUGGAUUAUACUGGGACCGAGGAACUUGAACAGCAACAAUUCAAAGGUUCCAAGAUCCACCAAGCUAAGAAAUAUUCAAGUAACAUGUUUGAAGUACUAUGCAUACUAUCUACAAAAUUUCAUGCCUUGGUCUUUUUUAAAAUUCCUGUUUAAUCCACCCAAGUUUCUUUCAAAUGCAAACUAUUGUCAAAUGUGGGCUUGGUCAGCCUUUAACUCUUUUUCUAGAGAAAUAAUUUAAAAUCCUAAUUAUAUCAAUCUGUAAUAUAUGUUAAUCACUAACAUUCAAUUUAACCAGACAAUUUAAUACUUGCAACACUAACUUACAGACCUGGCCAGAAGGUUUAUUUCAAAUAAAAUUUCCAAUUACCUAUACCUAGUA